rnacentral:rRNA from 1 species
GACGAACGCUGGCGGCGUGCUUAACACAUGCAAGUCGAACGGAAAGGCCCUGCUUUUGUGGGGUGCUCGAGUGGCGAACGGGUGAGUAACACGUGAGUAACCUGCCCUUGACUUUGGGAUAACUUCAGGAAACUGGGGCUAAUACCGGAUAGGAGCUCCUGCUGCAUGGUGGGGGUUGGAAAGUUUCGGCGGUUGGGGAUGGACUCGCGGCUUAUCAGCUUGUUGGUGGGGUAGUGGCUUACCAAGGCUUUGACGGGUAGCCGGCCUGAGAGGGUGACCGGCAACAUGGGGAUGGGGAGACGGCCCAGACUCCUACGGGAGGAAGCGGGGGGGAAUAUGGCACAAUGGGCGGAAGCCUGAUGCAGCAACGCCGCGUGCGGGAUGACGGCCUUCGGGUUGUAAACCGCUUUCGCCUGUGACGAAGCGUGAGUGACGGUAAUGGGUAAAGAAGCACCGGCUAACUACGC